UACGUAGGUGGCAAGCGUUGUCCGGAAUUAUUGGGCGUAAAGCGCGCGCAGGCGGUUCUUUAAGUCUGAUGUGAAAGCCCUCGGCUCAACUGAGGAAGUGCACCCGAAACUGGCGAGCUUGAGUACGAAAGAGGAUCGCGGAAUUCCCGGUGUAGAGGUGAAAUUCGUAGAUAUCGGGAGGAACACCGGUGGCGAAGGCGGCGAUCUGGGUAGAUACUGACGCUGAGGUGCGAAAGCGUGGGGAGCAAACAGG
rnacentral:rRNA from 1 species